rnacentral:tRNA from 1 species
GCCCGCUCAAAUGGCAGACGCAACGGACUUAAAAUCCGUUGGGGAGCAAUCCUCGUGUGGGUUCGAGUCCCACCACCGGUACCG